rnacentral:rRNA from 1 species
UAGGGAAUAUUGCAAAAUGGGCGAAAGCCCGAUGCAGCAACGCCGCGUGGGCGAUGAAGGCCUUCGGGUCGUAAAGCCCUUUUUGAGGGGAUGAGGAAGGACAGUACCCUCAGAAUAAGCCUCGGCUAACUACGUGCCAGCAGCCGCGGUAAAACGUAGGAGGCGAGCGUUAUCCGGAUUUACUGGGCGUAAAGCGCGUGCAGGCGGAUUGGAGAGUUGGAUGUGAAAGCUACCGGCUUAACUGGGAGAGGUCGUUCAAUACUUCCAGUCUUGAGUGCAGUAGAGGGAAGUGGAAUUCCGGGUGUAGUGGUGAAAUGCGUAGAUAUCCGGAGGAACACCAGUGGCGAAAGCGGCUUCCUGGACUGUAACUGACGCUCAGACGCGAAAGCUAGGGUAGCAAACG